rnacentral:rRNA from 1 species
CCGCCCGUCACACCAUGGGAGUGAAUUGCACCAGAAGCAGCUUGCCUAACCUUCGGGAGGGUAGCUACCACGGUGUGCUUCAUGACUGGGGUG